rnacentral:lncRNA from 1 species
GAAAAUUUUAGUAAAUUAUAGUCAAUUUUUAUGCAAUGAAACUAUAUAGCUCUUUUUGUUAGAAAUUGUCUUACUAACUAAGCUGCUGGUGGUUCUGUGACGAAGUAGCUCCUGUUGGCUUCCCUUACACCGGGUCAGACACAGGACAUUAAUUAAGGCUGUGUGUGGUGUUUCUGAAAGGUGAGGAGACUGGGCAUUCUGUCUUUUACUCUACAGAUACAUCGUGGGAGACUCAAAGAUUAAAAUGUGGCCACUCACUGUGGAUCAGAAGCAGAAUCUCACAUCAUAACCCCAAAUGACCUGUUACUCACCAUGUGGCCCAGCUGUCUUCAAACUCACCAGCCUCCUGCCUUAGCCUUCUAAAUGCUUGGAUUACAGGCAUGACCCACCAUAACUGGCUUUGUUUUAGUUUCAGAGAAGAUGAAACUGAUGUGCGUCAAAAAGUUAUGGAGGCUGGGAAGACCUAGAAUGUGGCAUCACUAUUUGGUUAUUUAGAAAAUUGUUACCUCAAAAAUGACCUAGGGGUCCUUAGAAUAAUAACACACAGAAGAAUAGCCUCAUUUUUCUGUUGGGCCCAGGAAACCAUGCCGAUUACCGACCGAGCUCUCAAUGGAAAAAUGCAGUCGGCGUGAACCACGCACGAACACAGCAGAGAAAGAAGAAAACACACACCACGAGGAACCCUAAUAGGACAAUACAUUAUAAGCCUCAUGGUACAUCCACUUGGUGUGCUGGGAGAGUCAGGAUGAGGACCUGAGAAGAACAGCAGCUUGAACCUGACUUCAUUUAACAGCCCACUGCCCUCUUGCCAAGAACCCAUCACAGACCUUCCCAGAAGAGAGGGAUGAGCCUCACCUAUGAAUAAGUCCUCAGAAACUCAAAUUUGAUUCUAAUGGAUUGUUUUCUCAGAAAGACUGAGCAUGUCCCCCCACAUCUCUGUCAUUUCCCACAGUAGUAACCUCUGCAGAUGCCACAUAGAAAACAAAACAAAACAAAAAAACAUGAGGUUGGUGGGCAGAUAGGCAGGGUAUAAACAAACAGCCUUGUAACCCAGAAGCUGUGUGAUAUACAGUAAACUUCACAACACUGAAAAGAUGUCCUAUCUGUUAAAAUGGGGUAAUAACAACUACCCGAAUGUUUAGGAAUAGAACUUCAAUAAAUGAUACAUUUUAUAGUACAGCAGACCAUCCUGUAAAGGUUUCAUCCUUCACUGUGGUGAUAAAUAUCCCAAACCACAUUGAAAAGCAUUGCAUCUACAUUUAUCUACACUGUAACUGUACUGUAAAUCAUGGGGGAGGGGAGAAUCAUAAAAACACCACCUGUCACCGUGUCAUUAAAGCAAGUUGGAAGUGAUACUUACAGAAACACAGCAAGAGCACCCCCAGUCACACAGUUCAAUCUCUUAGCAAGCGUUUUCUUUCUAGCCCAGUGGUUCUCAGUUUGGAAUUUUUGGCACUGCCUAGAGAUAGUUUUGUUGUUAAAACUGAGAAAAGAGCCGGGCGUGGUGGCACACGCCUUUAAUCCCAGCACUCAGGAGGCAGAGGCAGG